UACGGAGGGCGCAAGCGUUGCUCGGAAUCACUGGGCGUAAAGCGUACGCAGGCGGGCGAUCAAGUCGGGUGUGAAAGCCCGGGGCUCAACCCCGGAAUUGCAUUCGAAACUGGUUGCCUUGAGUACGGGAGAGGGAAGCGGAAUUCCUGGUGUAGAGGUGAAAUUCGUAGAUAUCAGGAGGAACACCGGUGGCGAAAGCGGCUUCCCGGCCCGAUACUGACGCUCAUGUACGAAAGCGUGGGGAGCAAACAGG
rnacentral:misc_RNA from 1 species